rnacentral:rRNA from 1 species
GAUGAACGCUGGCGGCGUGCCUAAUACAUGCAAGUCGAGCGAAUGGAUUGAGAGCUUGCUCUUAUGAAGUUAGCGGCGGACGGGUGAGUAACACGUGGGUAACCUGCCCAUAAGACUGGGAUAACUCCGGGAAACCGGGGCUAAUACCGGAUAACAUUUUGAACUGCAUGGUUCGAAAUUGAAAGGCGGCUUCGGCUGUCACUUAUGGAUGGACCCGCGUCGCAUUAGCUAGUUGGUGAGGUAACGGCUCACCAAGGCAACGAUGCGUAGCCGACCUGAGAGGGUGAUCGGCCACACUGGGACUGAGACACGGCCCAGACUCCUACGGGAGGCAGCAGUAGGGAAUUUUCCGCAAUGGACGAAAGUCUGACGGAGCAACGCCGCGUGAGUGAUGAAGGCUUUCGGGUCGUAAAACUCUGUUGUUAGGGAAGAACAAGUGCUAGUUGAAUAAGCUGGCACCUUGACGGUACCUAACCAGAAAGCCACGGCUAACUACGUGCCAGCAGCCGCGGUA